rnacentral:rRNA from 1 species
UGAUAACAACGUAUACCUACCGGUUCUCGUUAGAUCACCGAAGUCAAGCACCAUUGGGCGCGGUCAGUACUUGGGUGGGUGACCACCUGGGAACUCCGCGUGCCGUU